GAUUUUUGGGGAAUUUAGUAACAAACUUUUCCAUAUCUAAAAGUACCUUUUCUUACAGUGCAUAUAAGAAAAAUCUAUGAUUCAACCAAUUUUGUCACAAUGAUUCAAUGACUCGAUCAAUUUCUAAAGAGCUGGCUUUUUUUCCUGCAGUUGCUAAAAAUAUUGUUGGAUCCCAAAAGAUUUUUUUUAUACAAUUGAGUAAUCCAAGAAGCCGCUGAAAUCUCUCCGACUUGGUUUCUUCCGAUCUCUACGCUACGCUAAAAGCUGUUCCUCUUUCCAAGCUAAUGAGCCGAAUGGUGGUUUUCGUCAUCUAAACCAGGGUUCCGAAAGACGGUUUUAACCUCACAUCGAAAAACUUUUAUAUUUCCUUGCGAGGGCAAUAUAAUAAAUCACAAUUCCCACAAGAAGUAUAAGCAAAAUAAACCCUGAAAUCCCUAAUCCCUCCCGAUCUUUCCCCGAUCGCUUUUCUGCUCUCCUUCUUCCUCUCCGCGGUCAUUCCAACCCUCAUCCUCUUCCGGCGAGCGAUGGCGUCAUCGACGACGGAUUAGGACGNNNNNNNNNNNNNNNNNNNNUCGCCGGCCGAGCCCUCGCUCUCGGCCUCGCGGUAUCUCUCUCUCUCUCUCUCUCUCUCUCUCUCUCUCUCUCUGUGACGCAAUCAAUUUUGGACGCCGUCUCCAAUUACAUCUCCGUCAACCUUUGGUUCACUCAACCCCGUUGCCAAUGGGGCAGCGACCGGCUUAAUUAUUUUUUUAAGAUUUCUUUUGGAAAAAAAUUAGAAGAAUGUUCAUUCUUUACUAAUUUAAUCAGGGAUCAGCUCUGUCUUAGAAUGUUUGUUCUACUCGUUUGAUUGAAAAUUAGAUUUGUUCUGAUCAAUUGUUUGAUAAUGAAUUUGCUGUGGAAAUUUCGAAACAUAUUUUAGAUUGCUUGAAUUUCAUUGAAUCUGCUUUACUUUCUGCUAAUGUUUGAUAUUUUGGUACUUCGGCGUUCUACUUGAUGAACCAUUAAUCAUCAAUAAAUUCUGCAUCUAUGUUUUUUAGCAUUAUAUCUAAGAUUUCUAUGAUUAUUUUAAUUUGUUUUAAUGUGAUUUUUAUGUAGCCAUAACUGAAUAAGGCUAACCGGAUCCCCGGGCCAGCAAGUUGGAAAGUGUUUGCUAGAAUGCGUUUGACAAUGUUGAUCUAUAAACAAUACAUUGAAACAUCAUAAAAAUUAUGCAUGUGAUUUCAAUAUAGAGUUGCUAUCAUACCCUCCUC
rnacentral:lncRNA from 1 species